CCUACGGGAGGCAGCAGUAAGGAAUAUUGGACAAUGGCCGCAAGGCUGAUCCAGCCAUGCCGCGUGCAGGAAGAAGGCCCUAUGGGUCGUAAACUGCUUUUGAACCAGAGAAAACCCCACUACGUGUAGUGGGCUGAUAGUAUGGUUAGAAUAAGCAUCGGCUAACUUCGUGCCAGCAGCCGCGGUAAGACGAAGGAUGCAAGCGUUAUCCGGAUUCAUUGGGUUUAAAGGGAGCGUAGGCGGACUUGUAAGUCAGUGGUGAAAUCUGUGGGCUUAACCCACAAACUGCCAUUGAUACUGCAGGUCUAGAGUACAGUUGCCGUUGGCGGAAUAUGACAUGUAGUGGUGAAAUACUUAGAUAUGUCAUAGAACACCGAUUGCGAAGGCAGCUAACGAAGCUGUAACUGACGCUGAGGCUCGAAAGUGCGGGGAUCAAACAGGAUUAGAUACCCUGGUAGUCCGCACUGUAAACGAUGAUUACUCGUUGCUGGAAAGCAAUUUCAGUGACCAAGCGAAAGCGAUAAGUAAUCCACCUGGGGAGUACGCCGGCAACGGUGAAACUCAAAUGAAUUGACGGNGNGAGAGNGCGAGGACGACGACGAGGGAGAGG
rnacentral:rRNA from 1 species